CCGGGUUUGGUUUUUUUGAAACUGAUAUUUGGGUGUAGGUUAGGUUCCUCAGGCAGCAGGCAGAAUUUCCUUCUGGCACAGCAGGCAGUGGUCCUGCAGAGAACGUGGUGGGAGCUCUGGAAGCCGUGCGCCAGGAGCAGCCCAACCGCCCAACGGCCCCAACUGCCCAACCGCCCAAAGGCCCUGCGCCCCUCGCCCUGCGCCCCGCGCCCUGCGCCCCGCGCCCCUGCAGCACCGCCGGGCUCCCCACCCCUGCUCUGGGCCUGGCCAAGCUCCUGCUCGAAGCACAAAGCUCUCAGCAUGGACCACACGAAGAAUAAAACUGACAGAGAGGAGGAAGAGGAGUUUUUAGUGCAAAAUGUUCCGCCAACUCCUGAGUCACCUUCCACUGUAGCUGUAGCAGAGUACAGUAACCAUCAGUCUGCUGCCACUGUCUCUGAGAGUCUGCUACCAAAUCAAGAAGAGAUGCAAAGCAUCACAAGAGAAACAGAUGGCACAGCAGAGGCACAGAAUACUGCAGGGCACAUACAGGAUCUCCAGUCUGAGCGAAAUAUUUCUUCAAAAAGUUUUGAUGCCAGUGUCAGCUCCAGUAGUGGUAAUCAAUCAGAGCCAGAGCACACUGAAAAUGGUAAAGCAAAGGGUAAAAAGAGCUGUCUUCAUCCUAAGCAACUCUCAUUUACCAUUGUGGGUGUAUCUUCAUUCUGUUAUAGUUUUGCUGCUGGGAAGUGAAUUUUUGUAGGAAAUAGUAGCCUACUGUCUACUUCAAAUGUGUGGAAAUGGUGUAACCAUCUAGUGAAUAAAAUAAAACUGCCAGGAAGCUUCUUGGCCUUUAGUUAGGAAUUGUGAUGGCUUCAAUGAGGAAAAAAAGUGUAUAAGAAUGAUGUUUAUACUGGACCUGACAAGAAAGGCCCAGAAUUUGUUAUUCCUUGUGUAAGGAAUAUUUAUUGUAUAUGAAAGUAUUGAAGAUGAAAGUACUUUGAGUGCCCUGCUUACAAGCAGAAGAUGCUGUUAGUUGCUUAAAACUUGAUUCCCUGUAAGCUAUUUAAUUUGGGGGAGAAAGUGCCAGUUUUUGCACGUUUGGGAAACCGUUGCCCCUUGCGAAGUAAAUGUUCUGAAAAAUGUAAAUCAAGCUGAUAUCAAACAUUGACCUCUUAGCUGAGUUUUACAUUCUGGUGUGAUUUUGAGAUCCUGAGGCCACCAGAAAGAAGAGG
rnacentral:lncRNA from 12 species